CAAGGACGUCAUGAUGGAGGAUCACCGGCCCCUCACAUCACCAGUAAAGGAAGAGAGAAGAACACCAGAGAGAUGUCCCAGUCCUCUUCUUCCACAUGAUGGUUCAGAAGAGCAUUACAAUGUCAAUGUCAAGCAGGAUGAUCAGCUUGUGAAUCCGGGUGAAGAUCUGAACAAUAUU